UGCUGCAAUGAUGACACUUAUUUGCUACUCUUGAACAGGAGAAUGAUGAGAAUAUUUAACCACCUUUAUUUUAAACUGAGGCA